rnacentral:rRNA from 1 species
CCUACGGGUGGCUGCAGUGGGGAAUAUUGGACAAUGGGGGGAACCCUGAUCCAGCCAUGCCGCGUGUGUGAAGAAGGCCCUCGGGUUGUAAAGCACUUUCAGUGAGGAAGAACACCUGGUGGUUAAUACCCAUCAGGAAAGACAUCACUCACAGAAGAAGCACCGGCUAACUCCGUGCCAGCAGCCGCGGUAAUACGGAGGGUGCGAGCGUUAAUCGGAAUUACUGGGCGUAAAGCGCGCGUAGGUGGCUUGAUAAGCCGGUUGUGAAAGCCCCGGGCUCAACCUGGGAACGGCAUCCGGAACUGUCAAGCUAGAGUGCAGGAGAGGAAGGUAGAAGUCCCGGUGUAGCGGUGAAAUGCGUAGAGAUUGGGAGGAAUACCAGUGGCGAAGGCGGCCUUCUGGACUGACACUGACACUGAGGUGCGAAAGCGUGGGUAGCAAACAGGAUUAGAUACCCUGGUAGUC